UGGCUUUGUAAAAUUUUUUUUUUAAAUUUACGUUAACAAUUUGACUACACUAUCAGUUGGCCAUCAGUGGUUUCAAUUUCAAAGUUCUUAACUUACGGUGACCUAUUUGCACUUGCUGUAAGCCUGUUCCUUCUGUCAAUGAGUAUACCUUUUAUUUAAAAAAAAAGAAAAAAAAGACUCAAUAGUGAAAACAAGUUUAAAAGGAAUUUCAAUUGAUUUAUUAGUAUUUUGUCUUAUUUAUAGACAAAAGUACUAGGCAGAAUAGGGUUGGUUAAGACUUCAUCAAUAAAAAUUUCCUUUUCUCUUCUGUAACUGUGAUUGUGUUCAUUGUGGACGAUAUGAGAAGUUACGUACUUUUCAUAAUUCUUAUAUUAACUCCGUCAUUUGUAUCAGGAGAGACAUCAAAUAUAAAUGCUGCAAAAAGAUUAGUGACUGUUAAUGAAUCAAAUCAGAAACAAACAAGACUCAUAUAUACUGAAUGUUAUUGGCCAUUUAUGACAUGUGUUGACCAAGGAAAAAGGAACAUUUAAAGACUUGUAAAGAAUAACACAUAUUUGUUUUAUGUAUUCAUUGUUUUUGUUUUUGCAACAAUGUGUUGUAUGCUGCUGUGUAUGUUUCAAGUGAUGUCAAUAAUCGAGAGAUUAUAGUAUGUAAUGGUUUAAAUGCAUAACAUAAUCAUUAUUACAAUACCUUUAUUCAACUUUUAAAUUAGUGAAACUUUUGUGUGAAUGGGUGGAUAGGUGGAACCUGGAUACGGAUCUCAGAAAAGGCUCUAACAAUUUUCCUAGAAUUUUAGCAGUGGAUAUAUAUCGUUGGAAAAAAGAAUUACUAGCUCGUUGGUCACACUGGGAAAACUUUAGUUCGACCGUUGAAAUUGUUUAAAGUAAACAAAUAAAUAAUUUUAAAUUUGGCUAGAGAACGAGAGAAUAUUUAUCCUGAACAUGUUAUGAACGUGUGUUGUAGGGUCAACCAUUGCUGUAAAGAGGAAAUGAGAUCGCGGCCAACUGGUCCAUGUGAAUGUGUGUAGAGGUAUAUGAGGUAUGUAAGACUUGAAUGGCGUUGGUGGUUGGGUUCUUAGAGAGUUUAUCAGAGUUGGAGAUUAGAAAGUUAGUCGAUAGUUGUAAGAGUAGAAACGUUUCAUUGUUAGACUAUGUAAUUAACUUUUUUUGCAUUCAUCUGAUGAUCCACAUGACGUCUAAUUGUAGAUAUGUUAAAUAGUUUAAUAAAGUGUUUUAUCAAGUAUA